rnacentral:sRNA from 1 species
CCAGAAAGUUACUGGAAUAAUUUAUGCCUCCGCCACAAGGAGACAUAUCUCUGGCAUAAUGUACAUUGUCAUCAGACUUGGUAUUUAC